AUUGAACGCUGGCGGCAUGCCUUACACAUGCAAGUCGAACGGUAACGCGGGGCAACCUGGCGACGAGUGGCGAACGGGUGAGUAAUGCAUCGGAACGUGCCCAUUAGUGGGGGAUAGCCCGGCGAAAGCCGGAUUAAUACCGCAUACGACCUACGGGUGAAAGCAGGGGAGUCGCAAGACCUUGCGCUAUUGGAGCGGCCGAUGUCAGAUUAGGUUGUUGGUGGGGUAAAAGCCUACCAAGCCGACGAUCUGUAGCUGGUCUGAGAGGACGACCAGCCACACUGGGACUGAGACACGGCCCAGACUCCUACGGGAGGCAGCAGUGGGGAAUUUUGGACAAUGGGCGCAAGCCUGAUCCAGCCAUGCCGCGUGCGGGAAGAAGGCC
rnacentral:rRNA from 1 species